rnacentral:rRNA from 1 species
ACGAGUAAAGUGGCGAAUGGGUGAGUAACGCGUGGGUAAUCUACCCUUGAACUCGGAAUAACUCAUUGAAAAUGGGCUAAUACCGGAUAAUAUUCCUUUUGCAUAAGCAGAAGGAAUCAAAGAUGGCCUCUGAUUCAAGCUAUUGUUUGAGGAUGAGCCCGCGUACCAUUAGUUAGUUGGUAAGGUAAUGGCUUACCAAGGCUACGAUGGUUAGCUGGUCUGAGAGGAUGAUCAGCCACACUGGAACUGAGACACGGUCCAGACUCC